rnacentral:rRNA from 1 species
AACGAACGCUGGCGGCAGGCCUAACACAUGCAAGUCGAGCGAAGCCUUCGGGCUUAGCGGCGGACGGGUGAGUAACGCGUGGGAACGUGCCCUUUGGUACGGAAUAGCGCCGGGAAACUGGGAGGAAUACCGUAUGUGGUCGAGAGCCGAAAGAUUUAUCGACAAAGGAUCGGACAGCGGUGGAUUAGGUUGUUGGUGGGGUAAUGGCCUACCAAGCGGACGAUCCAUAGCUGGUUUGAGAGGAUGAUCAGCCACACUGGGACUGAGACACGGCCCAGACUCCUACGGGAGGCAGCAGUGGGGAAUCUUAGACAAUGGGGGAAACCCUGAUCUAGCCAUGCCGCGUGAUCGAUGAAGGCCUUAGGGUUGUAAAGAUCUUUCAGUGGGGAAGAUAAUGACUGAACCCACAGAAGAAGCCCCGGCUAACUCCGUGCCAGCCGCCGCCGUAAAAC